rnacentral:rRNA from 1 species
GUCUAUGGCCACGCCACCCUGAACAAGCCCGAUCCUGUCUGAUCUCGGAAGCUAAGCAGGGUCGAGCCAGGUUAGUACUUGGAUGGGAGACCACGUAGGAAGAGCAGGUGCUGUAGGCG